rnacentral:lncRNA from 12 species
CUUUUGGAUUUUGCUGCCUGUUUUGAUAUCAAUCCUCCUUUGUGUUUUGACAGAUACUAUUGAAAAAGAGAACUACUUCUUGGCCAAAUACACAUUCAGCAAAGGAAGCCUGAAGACAGAAAUAGUUAAAAAUGGCUACCGUGGAGCUGACACUCUGAAGUACAACAAAAUUACCAUUCUUGGCCUGAAGCUGAGACCUCAAGCUGUGUCUCUGAAUGGAAGAUCCAUCCGUGGAGAUGCUGUGUCUUAUGAGAUGAGUGGGAAACUGGUGUUGCGGAUUUCUGCUCCACUUACCCAGGAACUCAACAUUAAGUUCUACUAGAAUGGUCAGAACACACUGACUUAAUUUAACACCCUUGACCCUCAGAUAUUGAUCUCACUUUAUUUUAAUGUGAAAAAAAUGCCAUUAAAACAUUUCAAAUGCACCUGAUGACUGAUCUUUUCUUAUGUGGUAU